GCAAUCGGCCAUAGGACAUGGAAAACAGGGCUUCCCGUUCGCUCAGCCGUACUUAAGCCAUGUGCCGGUACGUUAGUAGUUGGGUGGGUGACCACCAGCGAAUCCGUACUGUCGAUUGUU
rfam:Exophiala sideris strain CBS 121828 unplaced genomic scaffold supercont1.1, whole genome shotgun sequence.